rnacentral:rRNA from 1 species
GACGAACGCUGGCGGCGUGCUUAACACAUGCAAGACGAACGGAAAGGCCCUGCUUUUGUGGGGUGCUCGAGUGGCGAACGGGUGAGUAACACGUGAGUAACCUGCCCUUGACUUUGGGAUAACUUCAGGAAACUGGGGCUAAUACCGGAUAGGAGCUCCUGCUGCAUGGUGGGGGUUGGAAAGUUUCGGCGGUUGGGGAUGGACUCGCGGCUUAUCAGCUUGCUGGUGGGGUAGUGGCUUACCAAGGCUUUGACGGGUAGCCGGCCUGAGAGGGUGACCGGCCACAUUGGGACUGAGAUACGGCCCAGACUCCUACGGGAGGCAGCAGUGGGGAAUAUUGCACAAUGGGCGGAAGCCUGAUGCAGCAACGCCGCGUGCGGGAUGACGGCCUUCGGGUUGUAAACCGCUUUCGCCUGUGACGAAGCGUGAGUGACGGUAAUGGGUAAAGAAGCACCGGCUAACUACGUG